AUCGCUUCUCGGCCUUUUGGCUAAGAUCAAGUGUAAAAUAUUUUUGGAGCUCUUCAUUGGAUAAGAAAAUUUUCAUAUACAUCUGCCAUUUCAUAUCAUCAUUUAUUUCACAUAAAACACAUAAAUGAAGCACUC
rnacentral:snRNA from 1 species